UAAUGUCGGGAACUCCAGGGAGACUGCCGGUGAUAAACCGGAGGAAGGUGGGGACGACGUCAAGUCAUCAUGGCCCUUACGAGUAGGGCUACACACGUGCUACAAUGGCGUAUACAGAGGGCAGCAAGACCGCGAGGUGGAGCGAAUCCCAGAAAGUACGUCGUAGUCCGGAUCGGAGUCUGCAACUCGACUCCGUGAAGUCGGAAUCGCUAGUAAUCGUGGAUCAGAAUGCCACGGUGAAUACGUUCCCGGGCCUUGUACACACCGCCCGUCACACCAUGGGAGUGGGCUGCACCAGAAGUAGAUAGCUUAACCUUCGGGAGGGCGUUUACCACGGUGUGGUUCAUGACUGGGGUGAAGUCGUAACAAGGUAGCCCUAGGGGAACCUGGGGCUGGAUCACCUCCUUAACGA
rnacentral:rRNA from 1 species